AGUAACAGUGUGUGGUGGCACCGGGUCGUCCAGUAGCCGUGGGUGGCCAGCACCGUUCUGGCCAACAGUAGCGGGUGGUCAGCACCGGUCCAGCAAGAAGCCGUGGGCAGUCAACACCAGUCCGGUUUGAAAGCUGCAUGGUGAUAGUGCCAUAGGCUCAGAGCACUAAGUUGCCUGCAAUCAAUUUUGGUGGUUUUGGCUGUUUUUGAUGACUUUUGACCUGACUCAAGGUCAUCACAUUCUGAAAGGGGAAGAAUACCGAGUAUGGCUCAUCGAUUGGUGAAGGUUUCACGCCGAGCGGUGCCAUGGGCCCGGAGCAUGGGGCUGUGAACAGGUUCAGUCCGCCGUUCAGGCCUUCCCGCGGUCUCGUGCGUGUUGCCGCUGUUGUGCGGUAAUUUGCAACCGUGUGGCCCGCGUCACCCCGUGCUGAGAGGGCCGGCGGUCUGAGCAGCUCGGGAGAGAUCUGACGACGGCCAUGCUGAGUGCCCUGCUGACGGCGGCCAGGCGGCCGGCUCACCUGCGCAGCGCGGCGCCCUGCCUGGUGCGCCACCUGAGCGGCGCC